UGGGUUGGAUCUAGGCCUCGCGCUCCCCCGCCCGUCUCUCCUUUCGCGCAAGCACUGUUCACGUAAAGCGCUUCAGACAACUGGGGGUCGUCCUUCCCAAGAACAGCCUAUACCUGCGGAUAAAUCUUAGCUGCCCGUCUUUAUUAACUUCUAAACCCCCAAAGAAGGAAUGCUAAGUCUCCAACACGGACGCAGAUCUCUUCCCUGGAGCUGAUUAAAAUAUAUUUUCUCGGGAGUUUCCCCUCUCCUCGCCCUCGGCAGACCUGCCCUAAGGAGGAGGCCCUCGGCGCUGAGACGGCUUCGUUUCUCAACGUCCGGCCUAGAGAUACACAGUUCCCAAUCUGGAUCGCACUGAAGGUCAAACUCUCGGACCUCGAACUCUUCACCCUUCUGCCUCAGCUUCCCCGAGGGCGAGAUCACAGCACCAGCCACGACUUCACCAACUGCAGUGUGUACGCUGACUGUGGGGAGGACGUACUGUCAUCUGUAUAAUCUGUUUUCUGCCAACUUUUGGAUGGAUUUCAAUGUCUGCUGUCAUAGGCAGCGCUGGUUGGGCUUGUAGACUGUUGGGGGGCGCUGCCUGAGGAGCUCCGCGGAAGCAGCCAGGCUGUUUCUUUACUCACGUGGGAGCGGGCUGAGCUCCACGAGCUAAAUCAGCUGGACUGAGCAUUUAAGGGGAGCAGAGGAGUCCGCUGCCUUGAGGAGCCUGGUGGUGGUGGUGGAGUAUGGUUGCACCUCUUUGCCAGGCAGGGCAGAGGUGAAUGGGGUACCUUUCUCCAGAUGGGCCGGGCAGAUGGACGUGGCUUUGUCCUUCUGUGGUUUUCUGCUAGUGGGCACAACAUGGGCCAUUGUCCCAGGUGGGAAGCUUCCAGAAUAUUUGGCAUCUCAGAGGGGCAUGAUCUGCCUUACAGUUGAGCAAGAUCAUCUGGGGUGCUUUUAGUCCUUAUCACUUUCUUUAUUGGCACUGGGUAUUGCCUUGGUGUUUUAGUCUGUCAGCUUAUUGGGGAGAAGUGUUUGUCACUAUCAUUCCUCUGUAAAAGCUGUGUUGUUUCUAACUUAGAGGAGGGCCCGGAGCCAUGGGGCACAGCAUGGAUUCCUGCUUGACCACCAGAGCCCUCUGAUUUCACCUGCCUGCCCCUUGCUCCAGGCCACAGGCCCUUGGCACGGCCACAGGACCAUGAACAGAGCCCCGCCUCAGACCUGCCCUCAACCGGAAUACCACUAUCACUGGCCUUCCCUGCCUUGGGCAUGAGUCCAGCUGCUCAGUCAGGGAGACGAAGGCUCAUGGGACAUUUAGGGGCUUCUUUUGUUCAUCUCUACCAGUGACCACCAUUUUUAAUCCUCAAGUCCACAUGAUAUAAAAAAUAAGUAAUAUAAUCCAAAGGUCUGAGGCUGUGACAUUACAGUGUUUGAUGGACCCCAGCGGUUCCCCACUCUCAUGGCGAGGGUCUUGUCUAUCUUAGCUUGGUAAAGAGGAGCCCAAGGAUGGGAGGCCUAGGGCUACUUGCCCCUAACCUGGCUCCUCGCUUUGUGAUUUGCCCAUUACCACUGGUACAGCUUGGCAUCGGAAGGCCUGUGGAUCCUUCAGACACAGCCUCGGUCCUCUCCGCCAUCUCUGACUACGGCCCACAGAACUUACAUUUAUCCAUCUGGCAUCUGAACGCAUUUGAAUUUGCAACCCCUUGCCAAAUCUGGUCCACUUUUCACUGUGCCACUGUAGGCUGGGUGUCACGCCUGACAUAGGCCCAGAAAUAAACCAGCCUUGUUCACCCA